rnacentral:lncRNA from 1 species
CCAGUCCGAGGUUUUCAACAUAGAAAGCAAUCUGAUCCAGAGGAAAAAAAAUCAUCCGACCAUCCAAACCAGGCGCGAACAAUUGAAACUGCUCCGAGAUGUGAUACUGCUCACGAAGUGGGACAACUACAGAGUCGGUUAGAAAAGAAACCUCUACUAUCGACCUUGGAAGGGAAUCACUAACCGAACCAACCAGUCGACUACCUUGAGAUGGGCUAGGGACACUAUUUACAGGCUCAUCCUCCCUAACCUUCUCCUUACCCUUCCUACUGUUACUUACCAUCUAUAAUGGCGGAAAAGAAAAUCAAAUAAGAAGUAGGAAGGUGGAAGGGGGGAAGAAGACCAAACCUGAGAGCUAAAUAUAGACUUUGAGACAUUGAAAACCACGAGGGUG